rnacentral:rRNA from 2 species
UGCGGUGGUGAGAGUGUUGGGGAAACGCCCGGUUCCAUUCCGAACCCGGAAGCUAAGCCUGAUCACGCCGAUGGUACUGCACCCGAGGGGGUGUGGGAGAGUAGGUCGCCGCCGCAA